rnacentral:rRNA from 1 species
UACGAAGGGGGCUAGCGUUGCUCGGAAUUACUGGGCGUAAAGGGCGCGUAGGCGGCCUUGUCAGUCGGACGUGAAAUUCCUGGGCUCAACCUGGGGACUGCGUUCGAUACGGCGAGGCUAGAGGACGGAAGAGGCUCGUGGAAUUCCCAGUGUAGAGGUGAAAUUCGUAGAUAUUGGAAAGAAAACCGGUGGCGAAGGCGGCGAGCUGGUUCGUUACUGACGCUGAGACGCGACAGUGUGGGGAGCAAACAGG